GGGCCGGUAGCUCAGUCUGGUAGAGCGACGGCCUCUUAAGCCGUCGGUCGAGGGUUCAAAUCCCUUCCGGCCCG
rnacentral:tRNA from 1 species